AGACAUUGUUCACGCUACCUAGCUACUAUAAUUGGCGGACUUUUUUAUCCCUAUUUAAAAUUGAACGCAGUAGGAACUUUCGAAGUGAGGGACAACAUAUGCACAUUGAAUUAUAAGAGGUGGGAUAAGUCAAUCGAUCGCGUCUUUUAAGGCAACGAAGACUCGAAGUAAAAAGUGUAAAAAAUCAGUCUUUGUAAAACCAAACAUGCUUCGCUUGCUUGUGGUGUACAUUUUUCUCCAGGCAUUCAGUAUGUUAGUGGUAUCUGGAGCAGACUUUUGCUUUGAUGGAAAUUAUGAAGGU